UUGGCCCUCAAUCAAGGCCAGCGGUUUGCUGUAGCUGCUGGUUUCAAACAGGAGCCCAGAGGAAGCAGCUCCCGGUCUGUUGGUGCUCCCAUCCCCGUGGAUCAACCAAUUCGUGUGGGAGCAACAGGA
ensembl:snoRNA